GUAGGGAAUAUUGGACAAUGGGUGAGAGCCUGAUCCAGCCAUGCCGCGUGCAGGAAGAAGGCCUUCUGGGUUGUAAACUGCUUUUGCCAGGGGAUAAAAUUUCUUUGCGAAGAAAAUUGAAGGUACCUGGUGAAUAAGCCACGGCUAACUACGUGCCAGCAGCCGCGGUAAUACGUAGGUGGCAAGCGUUGUCCGGAUUUAUUGGGUUUAAAGGGUGCGUAGGCGGUUCCAUAAGUCAGUGGUGAAAUACAAUAGCUUAACUAUUGAGGUGCCAUUGAUACUGCGGAACUUGAGUACAGACGAGGUAGGCGGAAUUGACGGUGUAGCGGUGAAAUGCUUAGAUAUCGUCAAGAACACCGAUAGCGAAGGCAGCUUACUAGACUGUAACUGACGCUGAGGCACGAAAGUGUGGGGAUCAAACAGGAUUAGAUACCCCUGUAGUCC
rnacentral:rRNA from 1 species